rnacentral:rRNA from 1 species
UGCGUAGGUGGUUUCUUAAGUCAGAGGUGAAAGGUACCGGCUCAACCGGUGACGUGCAUUUGAAACUGAAAGACUUGAGUACUGGAGAGGCAAGUGGAAUUCCUAGUGUAGCGGUGAAAUGCGUAGAUAUUAGGAGGAACACCGGUGGCGAAGGCGGCUUGCUGGACAGAUACUGACGCUGAGGUGCGAAAGCGUGGGGAGCAAACA